UUUGAGGAGUGAAGGCUGGGUGAUUGCUUGGCUGAAGCAGCAGCAGAAUAAGAAUAAGAAUAAUAGACUGGUCACUGUGAAGAGCUCACUGAAGCCCCGGUGUCUGGCUGGUGGGAACAGCAGCAGGACCAGUGAUAGGUCAGUGUGGGCAGGCUGAAGCCCAGGGGGAAUUGAACACAGAACCUGUACAGGCCAGCAAGGGUUCCAAGAUAGGCCCUGCUGGUCUGGUUGGAGAUUGAGGCCUCCAGAAACACCACCAGCUGCAGGUACUGAGAUGGGCCCUGGCUGAGUGGUUGAAGAAUGCAGUGUCUGUGGGAGAAGCCUUACAGCUACGGCCCCAUAUCGGUGCUGAGGAAGAAAAGCAAAGAUUAAAAAAAAAAUCAGACUGAACCUAGAACAUCUAUUUGGUUAAGAGCACAGAUCUGGGAGUUCUGUGGCUGAAAGAAGAGAGCAUGUGACAAAAAGCCACAAGGAGAUUUGAGUUUGGCUGACUGUGACAUUUGGGUAAGAUCCGAGAUGCAUGUUGUCCUGCGGCAAUGGAAUUAAAAAAUAACUCCCCACCCCAGGAAGAUACUCGCCCAAGUGUGUGUGUGUGUGUGUGGUUUCCAUCAAGAUAGUGUAUCUUUUUUUUUUUCCCUAUGCUUUGUAAAAUCAUCCCCACAGAAAUUAUGAGAAGUCAGUAAAUGCUUUUA